rnacentral:lncRNA from 1 species
AUUAUUCUAAAAUACCCCUACAGUUAUCCUCUGUUAGCUUAACUCGGGUUAAACAUGAGUUAAAUGUAUACUAGAGUUAAAAUCUAAAUAAAAUACCUAUUUUGCCCCUACCAUAUUAUACUAAUUCCUUAAGUUAUUCUCCUCAUACUCUUCGUUAUUCUCUUUCUCCCUCCUCCCCGUAUCAUCGUCCCCGACCCCGACCCCAACCCCAUCGUCGCGGAGAGGACGGCGACCCCUUCGACCCCUUCGACCCCUCGCUCCUCCUUCCCCCGCCCCGCGCUCGACUCCUUCCUGUCCCUCCUCGACGUCGUCCUCUCCGGGCGCUUCCGCUG